CCUACGGGUGGCUGCAGUGGGGAAUAUUGGACAAUGGGCGAAAGCCUGAUCCAGCCAUGCCGCGUGUGUGAAGAAGGCCUUCGGGUUGUAAAGCACUUUCAGUGGGGAAGAAAGCCUUGGGGCUAAUACCCUCGAGGAAGGACAUCACCCACAGAAGAAGCACCGGCUAACUCCGUGCCAGCAGCCGCGGUAAUACGGAGGGUGCGGGCGUUAAUCGGAAUUACUGGGCGUAAAGCGCGCGUAGGCGGUCUGAUAAGCCGGUUGUGAAAGCCCCGGGCUCAACCUGGGAACGGCAUCCGGAACUGUCAGGCUAGAGUGCAGGAGAGAAAGGUAGAAUUCCCGGUGUAGCAGUGAAAUGCGUAGAGAUCGGGAGGAAUACCAGUGGCGAAGGCGGCCUUCUGGACUGACACUGACGCUGAGGUGCGAAAGCGUGGGUAGCAAACAGGAUUAGAUACCCUAGUAGUC
rnacentral:rRNA from 1 species